rnacentral:rRNA from 1 species
UACGUAGGGGGCAAGCGUUGUUCGGAAUUAUUGGGCGUAAAGGGCGCGUAGGCGGUUUGACAAGUCUGAUGUGAAAUCUCUGGGCUCAACCCAGAGUCUGCAUUAGAAACUGUCGGGCUUGAGUAUGGGAGAGGUGAGUGGAAUUUCCGGUGUAGCGGUGAAAUGCGUAGAUAUCGGAAGGAACACCUGUGGCGAAAGCGGCUCACUGGACCAUAACUGACGCUGAGGCGCGAAAGCUAGGGGAGCAAACAGG